ACCCGGCCCUCUGGGAGUUGAGCGAGAGCAGAGAAAAGUUGAAAAGACCGACAAAAACUGUGGGAAGUUGGCUUUUAUCCACACUAGGGACGGUCCCAGGAACGAGGAACUAGUUUGUGAAUGGCUCAGAGAAAAGCAAACCGAUGUCCAGGGGUCUUGUGCAGGACCUGAAAGUAUUUUCUUCCAUUUGUGUGUGAUGAUUGUUCAGGAAUAUUUUGGUGACUGUAAUCAAUGAGAGACUGAAGACAGAUCAACAUACAUCUUACCCAUGCUCUUUCAAAGACUGUGCUGAGAGAGAACUUGUGGCAGUUAUAUGUCCUUACUGUGAGAAGAAUUUUUGCCUGAGACACCGUCAUCAGUCAGAUCAUGAGUGUGAAAAACUGGAAAUCCCAAAGCCUCGAAUGGCUGCCACUCAGAAACUUGUUAAAGACAUUAUUGGUAAGUAUCUAGAAAGCGUGUUUUGUUGCUUUCCUAGUUCCAGAGCUCCUGCUUCUUAUGUCUACUUUCCAAUUAUGGGAGGCAUCAUUAAUAACCCCAGUGGUAUUCGUAUUAACUUGUAUUUUGAUGA
rnacentral:sRNA from 1 species